GCUCGGAGGCGAGAAGGACCGAGCGUGGCCGUGGUGGCCGCGUGCCUGCGCGCCUUCUCGGGCGCGGCGGGGAGGGGCGAGCGGAGGGGCCCGGUGCUGCCGGCGCCCUGACUUCGCGGCCGCCGAGACGCGCGACUGGGCGUGGGGGGAGCGGGGCCGGCAGGCCUCCCCGGCCCGCGGCCGGCCCCCGCGUUGUGGAUGGACUAGAUGCUCCUGAGUAUUCCCACUAAGACGGCGGCCAGCGUUUGGGGAUGGGUUUAAUCAGUGUAUCCAGCAUUAACAAACAGAAUGUCACUCUCUGCUUCCUGAUCAACGUGUGAGCUGCUUCCCUCUGCCACACUCCUCUGCCCUGACAUCCUGCUGGAGCACCAGGGAAUGAAGCCGCCUUCUAUGGACUGAGACCUCUGAACCCAUGACCCCUGCCUUGUGUAUGCCUUGGCCACUCACCUGCCAUCUGCCGCUGUGGACCUCUGGACUGCUCUGAUGCUGGAUGCUAUCCCCGCCCCAUCUAAGAGAGAACAAGGACUUGGGUGACUUCUCCCAACUUCUCCCACUUUCAGCAGGAAACACUUUGGAGAUGUCCUUGCCCAUUUUUCCAUAGAAAUGGAUUGUAGAAAUUGAUAGUGGGAAAUGUAACAGAGGUCCACUUUAUGCUUGGAAUAUAGCCCUUGCUGCUCUGCCAUGCACCUUAUUUUCAAAAUGAACAUGUUUCUUUCUCUUCCCCUCUACCAGCUCCUCCCUAAUCUUUCCCCCUCCCUAAUCUCUGGGGACAGGGGAUUUCCUCUCUUCCCCUUCUGUCCCUGAGCACACUCCCACCAGAGGAACGAACUAAUCUAGACUUUGGGGAUGGACCAGAAGAUCUCAGAAAUGAUUCUCUCCCAAAUUAACAAGUGAAUACAACUCCAGACAGAGAACACAUGGAAUGUGGCCUUUGAGUCACCUCUUUAAAAGCCCCAUGUUCCUGCAGAUGGGCAGAAUCACAGCCUUUGGGACAGGAGUUCCCUGUUUCUCCUUUGCUAGCUAAGCAAUAAACCUUCUUUUUCUUUUUUUUUUUUCUCAAAAAAAGAAAAAAAAGAAUGUCACUGGAGAGCUUUGAGAAGAGAGGCUCACUGCUGAGAAUUAAUUUCAGGGGACCUAGGCAAAAGAAGGGAAAUCAGUCAGGAGUCUUUAAAAUAAAUAGUUUAGAUUGAGUUGGGAGAUUUUAGCUGGAGACCUGGAGAUGGGGAGGGCGAGGUUGGAUUCUGAAGACUGUGAUAACAGACUGUAGGAAAAGUGGGUUCUGUGGGGGAAGACUGCAUUUCCCUGUUAGCUUCACUGUCACUUUUGUCACCUACAGGCCACACAACUGGAACUCAGAAAUGACCAAUUUUCAGCUUCUUACUUUCCCAAACCAUGCUGUAUGCCAUAGGAAUUAAGACUAGGUUGUUUGGGGGAAAUAAAUGCUAGAGCAAUACAAAUUAAUUGGAUAUUUGCCUCAUAUUUUAUUGUUUUGACAUUGUUUUAAAAGGUUAUAUAAACUCCGAAUGGAGCUACAAGUGAUCUAAACACUUCUGCUGCUUUAUUAUAAAUGCUUUUGUAAUCAUGUUAAUUAUAUUACUUUUAACUGAAUAAGGCCUGUGUCUCUUCCUUAUAAAUUGAUGUUUAUAUCCUCUGUAAGAUAAAUAUAAAGCCUUUUUGUUCACAUUUUUAUGUACUUGAGCACCCACUAUAAGAAUGUAGUUGGCAGUGGAUGGUGGAUUUAUAUUAUUAGUCUUAGCUUACUGUUGUAACAUAACAAUUACGCAAAAUAUAUAAUUUGUUUUUGUUAUUUAACGUAGAACUGUAACAGCGUAGACUUAGUGAAGAUGACAUAAGGUACAACAAGGCAAGUAAAUUGCUAUCUAAGUAAAACUUUUACUUCUAAUAUUAGUAGAGUAAUAAAUUUCUCAGUGCUUUCUUUGUU